ensembl:lncRNA LOC120095547 uncharacterized LOC120095547
CUUUGGUAAAGCCCAUUAAGGCAAAGCUAUUUCCUAGUUCAAGGAAGGACUCAACCUCUAGCCUUUUGUGCAGGACACUUGGUAUUCUGACUAGCUCUAAGGACAGAACCGUCACUCACCAUUGUACCUACCUUUAAGAAUCAAUCCAUUUUCAACUGCCAAUGGCCUAGCCAACAGAACGCCUAUCAGGAAGACCAGGCUGCCAAUCUUCUGGUGAGGAUGCCAUCACUCAGGAAGAAAGAACGGUUCAUCUAAACUGUACUGUGGACAUGGAAGGAAAUCGUCUCUUCAAUGAGAUGCUGAGCGUGCUCUAAGCAGAUCCCUGGGACACGCUGAACUCCUCCAUCUUCCCCUCUGAAGCUCUCCCUAUCAGCACUCCACUGUGUAGCAGCUCACAAACAGGCAUGCACAACUAUGGCUGGAUUUUUUACAAGUGCUGGCAAUCUGAACUAAGGUCUUCAAGCCUACAAAAAACAUUAGUAAGAUUCCAGCCCUUUCUACAAAACCGUGAUUAUUGCAAACUGGGUGAAAGAACACAGCACACUGAAGCAUGUGGCACCUAAUCCACAGAAGGACAAGCACCGAGUCGACACUUACAGGCUUCUACCCCAAUGAUGCAUUUCCAUGGUGCCUUUUGCCAUGGUGCUCAGAACUUCAAGCAGAUCUAUUUGUCUAAUAACAAGUGCAUAUGUAGGAAAAGAGUUCUUCAUGGCUCAUACCUUUUCAGAUGUUUGUUGUUGACAAAUUGUAAGAAAUAUAUAACAUUUUAAAUUUCUAUAUCUUCUUAUGCACUAAAAAGGGAAAUCUUCCAUCAUAACCCCACUGCACAGGCACAGCAUUAAUCUCUUACAAGUUCCUCUUAUACAUGAGUUCCAACUCAUUUAAAGAUACAUAAAUAUUCUAAACAAAACCCAUGAUUUCUUUACUCUCUCCAAACUCUUAACAAAUCUGUUGCAAUAGAAAGCUAUCUCUACCAUUAAGAUUAUUAAUAUAUAUUGAGUAUUUCCAAUUAUUUCCUACAUCAUCCUUAAAUCCAAGUGUCAAAUAUCAUAAUUUGAGAGUAAAUGUAGAAACCACUCUGUCAACCCCUUGGUCCUGCCAAGGCUCAAUGUACCAGUGUAGGGGAAUGUCAGGGCAGGGAGGUAGGACGGGG